AGUUUAUUACAGGCUUACUUUUUUUCCCCUGACUCUUCUCAGUUUGCAGGCCUUUCAGAUAUAUCCAUCUCACAAGACAUCCCCGUAGAAGGAGAAAUCACCAUUCCUAUGAGAUCUCGCAUCCGGGAGUUUGACAGCUCCACAUUAAAUGAAUCUGUUCGCAAUACCAUCAUGCGUGAUCUAAAAGCUGUUGGGAAAAAAUUCAUGCAUGUUUUGUACCCAAGGAAAAGUAAUACUCUUUUGAGAGAUUGUAAGUAUAUGAGGUUUUUAAGGGUUUGCUUAAUCUAUCUCACUGUAUCUUAUCAUAAUACUUUAUAAGGCAAAUCUCUGUGGUAAUAAAACUGACAUCAUUUUGUAGGAUAAAAAAUAUGUAAACGAGUAUGUAAAUCAAACUUCUGGCAGAAAUUAAAAAUUUAUUUUAUUUUAUUUUUAUUUUCAUUUUUUUUGAGACAGAGUCUCACUCUGACUCCCAGGCUGGAGUG
rnacentral:sRNA from 1 species